AGAGUUUGAUCCUGGCUCAGGGCGAACGCUAGCGGCGUGCCUAACACAUGCAAGUCGAGCGUGAUUGUAAGAAUUAGUUUACUAAUUCUUACAUGAAAGCGGCGGACGGGUGAGUAACGCGUGGGCAACCUGCCCUGUGGAAAGGGAUAGCCUCGGGAAACCGGGAUUAAUACCUUAUAACAUGGACUUUUCGCAUGAAGAGUUCAUCAAAGAUUUAUCGCCACAGGAUGGGCCCGCGUCCCAUUAGCUAGUUGGUGAGAUAACAGCUCACCAAGGCGACGAUGGGUAGCCGACCUGAGAGGGUGAUCGGCCACAUUGGGACUGAGACACGGCCCAAACUCCUACGGGAGGCAGCAGUGGGGAAUAUUGCGCAAUGGGGGAAACCCUGACGCAGCAACGCCGCGUGAGUGAAGAAGGUUUUCGGAUCGUAAAACUCUGUCUUUGGGGAAGAAUACAUGACGGUACCCAAGGAGGAAGCCCCGGCUAACUACGUGCCAGCAGCCGCGGUAAUACGUAGGGGGCAAGCGUUGUCCGGAAUUAUUGGGCGUAAAGGGCGUGUAGGCGGUAUCGUAAGUCAGGUGUGAAAGUUUGAGGCUCAACCUCAAAAUUGCACUUGAAACUGCAAUACUUGAGUACUGGAGAGGUAAGUGGAAUUCCUAGUGUAGCGGUGAAAUGCGUAGAUAUUAGGAGGAACACCAGUGGCGAAGGCGACUUACUGGACAGUUACUGACGCUGAGGCGCGAAAGCGUGGGGAGCAAACAGGAUUAGAUACCCUGGUAGUCCACGCCUUAAAAGAUGAUAGGUACAUGUGCGGGGAGAGUCAGUGCUGCGAGUUAUCACAGUAAGCUUUCCGCAUGGGGAGGACUGUGGCAAGACUGAAACUCAAAUGAAUUGACGG
rnacentral:rRNA from 1 species